CUACUUGCAGCUUUGUUAGAACCUUUCAUUCCAUCUUUCUCUGUUGAGGUAUUAAGGCAGUUAAAUUUUCCAAGACCACAUCUAUCAUUGUGUGAUGAAAAAUGAGAUAUUGAUAGGGCGCGGAGACCUUGGGAGAUUCUACCUUCUGGUCAUGACAUAGGCAAGCCCGAACCUUUAUUUAAGGAACUGAAAGAUGAAGAGGUAGAGUUCUACAAGGAAAUAUUUGCUGGAAGUCAAGCUGAUUGGAUAGAGA